AUUAAUUUUGAUAUUUUUAAUAUCAAUAAUCAUCCUUUUACUGUGAAUUGUAUAAAAGAAAAGAAAAUUUUUAAUUUUCUUUUUUUUUAUUAUUAUUAUUUACCAAAAGAAUUCAGAUUUAAAAUAUUGUAACAUAGAUCUAAACAAUCUAUAAAA
rnacentral:misc_RNA from 1 species